AGGGGCCCGUGGGCGCGCGUGUGUGUGCGCUCGGCCCGGAGCGCGGCGGUCUGCUGAGGGUGCUUGUGUGCUCGCGCGUUGGGUGCUCGGCCCCGGGGAGCGACGGCGGGAGCCUGACUCCGCGCGCCCGGCCGGCUCAGGCGGGACUUGCGCCGCAGCCGCCACCGCCUCGCGUCCCCUGAGGGCCGCUGUCGUGCUGCGGAGAGCGCCGGGGCGGGCGGGCGGACGCCGCGGGGGCUGCGAGCGGCUGUUCUUAAAAUGAAGAAGUUUAAUUUCCGAAAAGUUUUGGAUGGCUUGACUGCCUCCUCACCAGGCAGUGGCAGCAGCAGUGGCAGUAACAGCGGUGGGACUGGUAGUGGUCCCUUGCAUCCAGGAGGGACAGCUGGAGUUCUGAGAGAGGAGAUUCAGGAAACCUUGACUUCAGAAUAUUUCCAGAUUUGUAAGGAAUACCAGGUUGAAUCAAUAAUCAAAAUUGCUACACAUAUUUUUUGUGAGUGGAACAUCUAUACUUGUGUGAGCUGUUCACUGAGAAUCUGUAACCCACAGGACAGGCUGAGAGGUCAGCUAGGAAACAGCAGAAAACAGAAGACAAGACUGCAGUGAUAGAAAAAGAUGGAUAUCAAGCCAAAUGCAACAUCACUGCGUGCUGUCGGGCAACAGCAAAGGAUCCUGUGCACACAAAAAGAAAGUUGCACAAUAUGAAGGAAGCAGUAAAAAUGAAAUGAAGUAGAAGAGACAUGCAGAAAGAAAAAUGCUCUCGGAUGUGUCACAAUCAUCUUGAUUCUUUACCUGGAAAACCUGUAUUUUUUCCCUUGUAAUUAUCUAAUAUACUUUGUGUCAAAGAACAAGGACCUGAGUUCCACUUAAAGAAGAUGAAGUUAACAGAUACCUUUUUCGGGUUUUAUCAUGAAAUUAGAAAUGAAGAUUUUCAGUUUCUGGUAGUCAUGAACAGAGAGCCUCAGCCUGAAAAGACCAGCUUUCAGAUUCCCAAAGAAAUUGCAAACACAUCUUUAAAAAAAAAAUUAUGGAGAUCAAACUCAAAGACCCUCUACUUUGGCUAUUGGCACACAUUUCAUUCCUGGAGAUGGUUAGAAUAUGGUGUUUCUAAAAUAGAAGGACUUAUCUUUCCUCCUCUACUUUGGAACUAAGAUGAGUACGGUGAAUAAAGCCAGUUUGGAUGAUUGAGCUCAUAAUUUUUAACUAAUGUCCACACUCAUAGUGUUUAAUUAGGGGAUCGAACUCAUGACUGCCUGCUUGCAAGGCAGGCGCUUAUGCCGCUGAGCUAAAUCCGCAGCCCCGAAAUAAUGAUUCUUGAGAAACAAUUUCCCAACAUAAUUCAAAUAGUGAAUAAGCAACAAGAAAAAAAUGAAUACAUGAAAAUAUAUUUAAGAUAUUCAGUUAUUUAAUCCUCUUCUGAAUAAAAUUUAGAGUCACAAUAGGAAAGAAGCAUAGAUUAGAAUUUAUUAAUUUUUCAACCACUAUUUUAAAAAGAUUUGAAAAACUUGUUGCUAAUUAGGAAAGUAAGUGAUCUCUCUCUGUCUCUCUCCAUCUCUGUAUAUAUAUAUAUAUAUAUAUAUAUAUAUAUAUAUAUAUAUGUAUUUAUAUAUAUACUAUAUAUAUUUAUACAUAUACAUAUAUAUUUACCUAUAGAUAGGUAAUAGAUAUGCUAGCUUACAUAUCAUAUAUGUGUGUUCAUAUUUAUCCCUGAAUUCAAAAUUAUCCCAAAUUGAUAAAAAUAUAAGAUAAAAAGAGCUGUUCCUCAAAAAUGAAAAAGAAUCAAAUUACCAGUUGACACAUACUAAAUUCAUUUUUAUUACCUUUCAAAUAACAUUGAAAAUUUGGGCUCGUCUCCCUGCAUUAAGUGCUAUGCUGGUCAUGUGUAUAACUACAGGCUGAUAAAAUUAUCCACUUGGUUUAUGACAAUUUCUUUUAAUUGCUUGUUAAUGUGACAUAAUUUUAGCUAGCUCUUUCAUUGCCAUUAAGCAAUGCAUCCUGUAAUCAUCAAUGUGCAAAUAUUUAUGUGUUACAUGUGACAUAGUUUGGAUUUAGAAUGCCUCAGAAAAGUUUAUGUUCUAAAGACAUGUUCCCACCAUAAAGUAUUGUUGAAAGGUGAUGGAAGCUUUAGAAUUUGAGGACUGAUGGAAAUAGGCCACUGAGGAUAUAAUGGACCCUGAUACAUCCCCCAGCUUACCGCCAUAAGGUUAGUGGCUUUGCUCCUUAUACAUGCCCUUCCAUGGCGCUCUGCCUCCCCAUACACCCAGAAAAAGAUUAGCCAAAUGAGUAUGGAUUAAAACCUCCAAAGCCAUAAGAUAAAAAUUUUAUUUCUUUGAGUUGUCUCUGUCAGGUAUUUUGUCACAGUGAUAGAAAGUUGCAACAUAUGAUGAAAGUCAAUGGAAUAUUUGUAUGUUUUUAUUGAAUUCCAUAAUACAGCCCUCUUUUUCUUUGCAACUAUUCUCCAGAAAUUCUCUAGAAUUUCUCUAGAAUUCUAGAAAUUCUCUAGAAAAUCAUAGAAGAAAUACAAAAUGAUAUUUUUGUAAACAUCAUUUAUCACAUUUGGUAAACUGAUUCAGAGAAUAUAAAAUGUAUGGCAGACACAUCCAGUUGAUUGUCUAAUAGCCAUUCUUUCAUCUCUUUCCUGGUAGUAAAAAUUUUACUCCCCGCCCCAGGUAUUGUGUUUCAUAAGCUCCUUCGGAGCUAUGGAAGAAGAACAGAGUGGGUGACAUAAAUGUUGUGCAAUCCACUCUUUAAGUGUGGGAAUGUAAUGCCACCAUAGCUAACUUGAAAAUAAUAUUUAAUAUAAUUUCUCACUAUAUAUGAUUGUCUUUUUUUCUAGUAAUGAAUGUGAAAGUAUGUGACACAUUGUCAGGUACUCAUAAUGCCAUUCUGAAGGUGGCUAUAAACAUACUGGGAAAAUAACUUAAGUAUUUGGAUAUUUUAUAUUGAUGUGGUUUUCACUUUCCUGAAAAUGCACAGCCUGUAAAUAUCAUGUCAUGUGAGUUAAUAUUCAUUUUAUUGUUUGUAUUAGCUACAUCAAAGAGAACAAAACUGACAUAAAACUGUAAAUCUGUGAAAAAACAAAGAAUUGCUUACCACUAUGAAACAUUUUGCUUCUCUUAAAAUACUAAGAAUGGCACCAAAGAAUAUUAUUUUGAUAUGGAAGACAAAUCUAGGCAUGAUGAUAAAUAUGCACACUUAUGCAUAGCAUAUGUAACAUUUGUCUAUGCCUAUUAAUGUCUAUGCACUUAAGAAAUACACUUUUUAUGCAUGCAGGUAUAUGAUAUAUCUUUAGAGCACAGACAAACUUUUGCAGACACAUGCACUAAACGAACAACCAUUAUAAGUAUAGAAAGGGUCACAAGGACUAGGAUGUAGAUUUCCUGAAAGUUUUCUAUAUAAUAAUGUGCAACUUAAAAAUAUUUAUUGCAUAUACUGAAUAUGUGCCAUAUGAGCAUGCAUUUAAUUAUUAAACAUUAAUAUAAAAAUUUAAUCAAUACAAAUAUGAAUGCAAACAUUAUCAAAUUAAUAAAGCUAAUUAUGCAAGUGUACAAUAAUGCUGCACAAUAUAUAAAAUUGAAUAUGUUGUUUAAGAAUGAUAAACAUAUGAGCACUUAGCUAGAUUAUUACUUCUAUUAGAUUGUAGUAGAUUGCACACUAUCAAAUAGUAAAGGUAAAGAAUAGGAUAAGAAGAGAAACUGCUGCAUAGGCCACGUGGAAGAGGUUUCUAGUCUCAUCCAUAUGAUUUUUACAUGUUUCAUGUCUGAGUUAUCAGGAAAGAGAAGGUCCACUUGCCUCCCAGGAAUCCAUCAAACACUGUCAGUCAUAGUCUCUUACUUCAUAUUCCAAAUUUAAAUGCCCUGAGCAAUCUUUAUCCUUAAUAGUUGAAAAGUUCAGGGUUAGCAUAAGAAGGAAGUGAGCACUAUAAUGAUUUAGGUACCCUUUGAUGUACUAAAGUGCUAAUUUACCAGAUGGUACCCUAGAGUUUUAAUACAUUUCUGGAGGUGCCUAAUUAAUCCCAUAUUAUAGCAAUUAACAAUAAAAUACUACUUUGCUUCCAUAAAUUUUGGAGUGAAUUUUGUUAACAAUUUCAGUGAAAUAACCUAUAUUUUAUCAUUGCUUUACAUUUUUAAACACUGUUAAUCUAUUCAUAGGACUUUGUUGAUUCAUUUUUCAAGCUACUAAGUUAAUAUUAUUAAAUUAUGGAAGAAAAUGAAUCAUUACUAGCCUCAUGUUCAUUAUAUGACCUUACAGCUAAAUUGAAUCCCGGCAGUUCAGAUAAUAAGCCUAUUUUAAGAUGGCCUAAUACAAUAUGAAUUGUGCUAUAACUUGUUUCUGAAAAUUGCACAUGGGUUGAUUAGAAUAUGGGUUAGAAUGGUGUGACUUGUGCUAGACUAAAUCAUAAAUUUUAGUUAGGGUAAAAAAUAAAAACAAAGUAUGAAUUUGUAAUAAGAGUGGUGCGUAAAAUUACAAUUAAGUUGUGUCUAAUGAUUAAACUAGUAGAUAUAAUUAUAAAGUUAAAUUAAUACAACCAUAAUACUGAAUGUAUUAAUAAUAUAUUUGGUACUAUGAAGAUGCUAUUUUACUUUGAUAAAAUUUUAGAUGUGAGAGUUUUCUGUGCAUCAGAAUUGCUCCAAUUGACCUUUUUAAAAAAGUGAAUUAUGAACACUAAAGUAUCAGGGCCUUGAAAUGUUAACUUAUAAAGUAGUUUCAAUUCUUACGGUUGACUUUGGUAAACUACUUAUUAAUUUAAUUCAGUUUUUCUCUGUAAUAUACUCUUCAUCACAGUUAAUACCAACUUUCUAUCACUCUAUACAGUUCUGAAGUUGUGAGACCAUGACAGCCCACAAGAUUGUUAAUUUAGUUCUUUAACAUCUCUCUCACCUAUAUGUGCCAUUGCCUGUUGACAUGACACCUCCCUUGGAGCCAGCCAAUUACAGACUCAAAUCUUUUAACUGUGGGCUAAAGGUAUGUUUCCUCCUUUAUUUGGCUGCUGAGUAUUUUCUCUCAGCAACAAGAACAGUAACUAAGACACUAAUGAGCAGGUUUAAAUUAAUACUGAUUUAUAGAUACAGAAAUGCACAUUCGCACAUUACAUGCAUACCUUGUAAAAUAAAGAAAAGAUGUGAUCUAGGUCAUUCUCAUCUGAAUCCCUGCCAUCCCCUUAAAUGUGUCACUCAUGGCUUGCCAUUGUUAUAGGAUUCCAGGGCAUUCAGUUCGCACAGUUCAAGGAGAUCAUUAAGCUUAGUCCCCUUCAGUUUGCAAGCUCUUCCUCAAGAGUUCAAGUUUCACUACUUCCCUUCUUUACCCUUCUUCAGCAUCCUCAGAGGUUGGAUCCUUCAUCUCUGCUCUAACCUCAAUCCGCAUAAUAAUACAUUGCUGAAGCUUAUAAAUUUCUUUGAAUUUGUUUUCCCCACAGACACAAAAUGCCCUCUUUUGCCUCUCUCACCUAAUUAUAUGUCUUCUCCAUCAAAUCUUAAUGUUUUAGGAACAUAUCUAUAUCAAAUAUUCCUACACUUUGUGGUGACAUGUGUCUCUGCUGGGCUGCUAGGGGUCCUUAAACAAGUCUGUGCCGUAGUUGUCUGCACAAUGUCACUGUUUGGAGCCUCCUGUGUCCGUGUGUGCAUGUGUGCAUGCACGUGUGUGUAUGUGUGUGUGUGUAAACAAUGUUGAAUGAUUAAAUGGACCAUGGUUUUGUCAAGAAAUAUGACAUAUAUUUAUUAAUGACAAUAGAAGUGGAUAUAAUAAUAAGAAUAGCUCAAUAAGAAUUGAUUUUAAAACAUUGUGUCAUAUAGAAGUUAACUACAAUGCCCUCACUUUAGCUACUUUUAUUACUCUUCUUCUUUGUGGAGACAAAAAUAACUUUUGAUCAAACUUAAAAAUCAUAAUUAAAUCACUUUGAGUAGCUGUCUCCUCAGAAAGUUUUUUCAAAUCAUUAUGUAAGCCUUACUAAUGCAAAAGGAAUAACAAUAUAUAUUUGAAGUUUCAAAUAUUAUUUGGUAAAAUAAAUCAUUUUCAUCAUUAAGAUCACAGGCCCCAUAUGUGUUUAUUUCUAAUCAGUUUUAUUUUAAUUGAGUUUAUCUGAAAUCUAUCUUCUUAUUCUUAAUAGUGUAUUGAAUUUUUCAUCUGCCAUUUGACCUGUUACCAAAGAAAAUAUAUCUGCUUGCUCACCUAUGAAUUUAAUAUUAAAAUUUGUCACAACAGUAAAUUUUAACAGAGAUUUGAGAGUUAAGAAGAAAUGGUGAAAUACAGUUUGAGGGCAAAUCCUUAAAAUGAAGACUUUCCAGUGACCUUUUAUUGAUAUAUUGUAAUUCCUCUUUGUCCUCCAUCUAUGAAUAAAUUUCAAAUUUUCAAGUUAUUAAGUUAUUUAAGCAAUUGAUUUGGGUAAUUUCAUGUUUCACUAGUUUUAUGACACAAAAGUUUUACAGUUCACUGUCAUCUAUCAUUAAAUUUUUUCAUCCAGUCAUUUCUAACAUAAACGCAUGAUAGAAUAUUUUCUUGCUGAAUUCUCCUGUCAAGUUUGAAAAGUCAGUUCAAAGAGCUAUAGCUGGGAAAUGGGAGCAUAAUUUCUUAUAUAAAUUAUGACAGUUUAUUAGAAAUGUGGAAAUUUUAAUGUAUAAGCACCUUAUCUAAUAUCAUAUGCCUUUGUGCUGCCAAGAAAUAAUUAUCAGAGGAAAUAUUUUCCUUUAUAUUUUUCUAUUUUGUAUUCUUUGAACAAGUAUUGCAUGGACAGUUUACUCACUAGCUUAGAAAUAAAGUUUAUCAGAGCAACAGUGGAAGUUUGGACACUAAAAAGAAAGAAGAAUAUAACAAUUAAUGUUGGAAGCAGUGAAAGAAAAAUUAUUUGCCAAACAGAGGGCUCGAUCCACUGCACGAUAUAUUGAAUCUGAGUUGUUAAAAAAAUUGACCAUUUGUCACUUACUAACAAGAUCUAGCAGUUCUUUAAUUUUUCACAUGUGCCCAGUUUGUCUACAAGCUAACAGAUGACAAAUUAUCAUUGUGAUUAUAUAUUUUUAAAAUUACACGAGACAAAUAGUAUAUUGGAGAAGUUAGUUAAUUUAUACUGUCAGUAGAGUCACUAAUUUGAAGAAAAAAGUCAGUCUGAACCCAGUAAUUAUGUUUUAUACCUUAAGCCACAAACUCCAAUUUACAGAUAAUCCUGAAAAUAUUUUAAAAUUCUCUUUAAAAUCUAAAAUUUUGAAUAAAGUAAAAUAAAGAAACAAACAUAAAAUAGUUCCAAUUUUUCAGAGUAGGUGAAACUUGGAAACAGAUUUAACAAAACACUCACUAAAAACUAAGAACUGCUUCAGAAAGUGACGAGAAUGGUGGAAGAAAUAUGUUUAAAGGAAAGGAGAGAGUUUAAUGGGAAUUAAUGUUUAUGUGCUUUUUACAGUGAUAGUUUUACAAAUUUAAAUGUAUACCUUAUUUUUUUAUUAUAUUAUGUACACUAAAAUUAAUAAACAAUUUGAGGGAUCCACAGGGAAUAAUAAAAUGAAUUUUGUUUUUCAAUUAUAUUCAUUGGAUAUUUAUAUUCAAUUGUAUUCCUCUGUAGAGAUGUUAAAUGCAGAGCUACAACACAAUUUUCAAAAUUUUUUUGUUGAUUUUAUGAAUAAGACAAGUUAUCUUCACUAAACACAAAUAGCAAAAUCUUAAUAAUUCAAAGCAAAGCAAAUGUUUUCAAAUGCAAAGUUUUAAGUGAUAAAUCAAAAAAGGAUCAAAUUAUACUUUUAAUAAGAUAUUAACAAAACAUUAUUAAAUUUUUUGCCAAAAGUGAAACUUUUCUUUGAUCAUUGUCUGUAAAUCUUACCAUAUAUUUUAAAUAGCUACUGAAUAUUUCAUUGUAAUUAAAUGACAUUCUAGGUAGCAUGUUUUACUGAUUAGCAUGAAACGCACUCUAGAUUGAGAAAACUCCAUAUUCUUUUGAAUGACCUUAUAGCUUAUAACCUUUUGAUAUUUUUGGUUACUAGCCUAUUAUACAGUUUUAUAAACUUUAAUUAAAAAGUUGAGCAAUGCGUAGUCUUCCUUUGAUGGUGAAGAUACAUGAUAUACUAUACUACUUUGAUCACCUUUUAUCUAAAAUUCAAAAUUAUAACAUGAUUUUUGUAAGGAAAUUUCUCUCUCCUUUAUGCAUUCUUUUAACUGCAGCCAACAGUACAACACACAGAAACACACACAAGCCACACAUUUGCCAAGUAUGUCCUGCUAUUUUUUUUGUCUUCACAUUGUUAGCAUUUGUGUGUGUGUGUGUGUGUGUGUGUGUGUGUGUGUGUGUGUGUGUGUGUAUUUUACCAGGUGUCACUAGAGUAAAAUUAUAUGGAGAAUGUAUAAUUUGCUUGCAUUCACUUUUCUUCAUCUGUUCUUUUAAUGGAACAGUUCAUGGAUAUGACUGUGUAGUAAUUAAUGUGGAAAGAUACAAUAGAUUUACUGAUCUUCAGGAUAAUAUUGUCAACUCACUGACCUAUAAGCAAUGCAUUUAUUAUCAUCCCCAUGUUAAAGACUACUCUUAUAUUUCUGUUUUUCCCUUGGUUUGAAGUAGAGCGUCAGCAAUGUCUAAUGCAGGGAAAAGUCUAACAUAAAGCAACUUAUUUGGGAAUACUAGUUAUUGAUCUUGAGCUACUUAAACUGCCUCUGAAAUGUUAUAUCUCUUUUUCUCUAACCAGUGCCACAUACUUUUUUCUUUUUCUUUUUUUCUUUCUAGAGAAACAAGACAUUUGGUUAGAAAAAACAUUAAUUUUUAGAAUGUAAUAAUAUACGAUUACAAAAAUCUUCACUGCUAUCUACUAAUUUUGACUUUAUACUUGGAAAUAGUGUAGUUUUGCUUUGAAUUGAUAAUUUGGUUGAUUUUGACUUUAGAGUCUUUGAUUAUGGUGAGGAACAGAAUAUCAAAAUAUCAUACUUAAAUAAAUUUAGACUAUUUAAUGUGAUUGAAACCCUCUUUGAGUACACAGUUGACCAAUUUUCAAGGGUGCAGUAGUCUGUAUUUACCUGAAUUUUUACACCUAUAAAAUAAUUUAAUCAUUUGCAGUAACUAUAAACAGCAAAUAUAAUUUUUCUAAAUAUAAAAUAUCAUUAUAACAUACAGAAGUAAAUAUUAUAUUGCUAUAAAAAUACAAAAAUAUAUUUAUGAAUAUUUUGGGACCUAAAGUAUAACUUAUAAAGUCAUGGGAUGUUUAUGCAGGUUUUUACUUUGUAUAUAGUGUGUAUUCUUCAAAAAGAAUAGCAAAUUAUUGACCAGUUACAUAAAUUGUGCAAUCAAUGCAUAACUAUUAAUAAAAUAAUAUCAACUAUUCAACAAGGUCAAUUUUGUACUUUGUAGUAGGAAACCCAGAAGGUAAUAAUAAAUAUCACAAUGAAACAUCAUCAGUAGAAAAAUGUUAGAAAGUUUUAAAAUUCUACAUUUUUAAAUAUAUUCUAAGUAUAAAAUUUCAAUGAUAAAAAAUUUCUUGACAAAAAUGAAUCCAGAAUAACUGAAUAGAUAAAUGGACUCUUCAAUGGUAUAUAGACUGCAGUGUCCUCUGAUUAAAUGUAUGUGACAGCACCGAGUGUAGUUUGGUUAUUGCAUUUACUUUAAGAGUGCUGCCAGUUCUUACAAUAAUCACUAGUUUUGCAUUCUCAAAAAUGAACCCUGAAGAAUGACUACAGUGUUCGUCAUUUUGUUUUAUGGUACUCAUGGCCUUAUGGCAUUUGUUCUCCCUUCGGGAGUUUGAAGUUAGUAGAAAACAUUUAACAAGGAAUUGCAUCCAAGGUCCAUUAAAGGCACUAGAUUUUAUACUUUGCCCUUUUUUUCUUCAGCAUUCACACUUUGCCUAGCAUAUUUUUAGAGUUAGGAGAAAUUCAUGGAGAAUCAGCCUAAAAAUAUUUAUUUUAAUACUGUAAAAUUUAAAUGAACUUCCAGUCACUUCCCAAAUGUGUUACAGAAAAAUUUGGAUAAGACUGAAUCUACAAAACAAAAGAUUGAAGGGGGGAAGCAGAGAAAUCAAUAGUAAAAAAAUAACUAAUUGAGUCUUUUACAUGUAUCACCUCCUCAUGAUGAAUUUAAUCAUUUUAUAAAGACUUUGUGCAUACAUAUGCACAUUUGUAAAUAUACAAACACAUUAACUUGUUUGUAUUUAUCUUAAUUAACAAGAUAUUUUUGUAAUCAAUUUUAAUAAACUAUGUCUUAGAAAAACACAAAAAUUAAAUGAAAGUUACAAAUUCUUGAAAACUUUUCUCAUCAUAUUUAUACAAUCUUUAUACUAUUAAUAUGCCUCACCAGAGCAUUAUAUCUGUAGAUGUUUAUGAAACUAUGUAUAUAAACCAUUAUUACUAUAUCUACAACUUACUUUUGAAUUCAUUCUGGAAGUUGUAUAUUCUAAAGAUUAAGACAAUAUAUGACCAUAUACACUUCAUCAGAACUCAAUAUUUUAUCACCCUAAAUAUCCUUUGCUGGCUAAGUAUCCCUCUCCCUCAAGCUCUAAUCAUUUCUGAAAACCAUUAAUCAUUUUACUGUCCUUGCAGAUUUCAGUAUUCCACAAAGUCAUAGAGUUGGAAUUAGUAUGUUGACAUAUUUGUUUGAGUACUCCAGAGGAACAACAUAAGUAGAAAAUACAAACAUUUAUUCAAGAGGAUUUUUUUAGUAAGGUUACAGAAUGAGAAGCAGAAAAGUCCACAGUGAUUAUCUGUGUGAGGGAGAACUGGAAGAUACAGAAGUUGUUCAACCCAGGAUGAUGGACAAGAAGGAUCAAGGACACAGCACCAGUCCAAGAUCAAAAGCCUGGAAACUGACUAGCGUGACAUCUGUGUAAGUCUGCACUGGAAGGCUGAAGAAAGUAGAAACCGACAACCAAAGGUGAUGGGAAUCUUAGAGCUCUUCCAAACAUGUGACUAUAAGCAUUUUUAAAUGCAUGUUGUCAUUUAUCAUUGUGUUUGUUGAGACUUUUGCUCAAAUCUUUUGCCUAUUUUUGCAAUCAGAAUUUUUUUCUUACUGUUAUUAUAAAGGAGUGCUUGCACAUUUUGGAAUAUUGCUUUCAUUAGAGGUUUACUGAAGAAACAUUUUCUCUCAGUCUGUGGAGUUGUGGCUUCAUUUUCUUAUUGUUGUCUUUUGCAUGGCUGGAGCUUUCAGUUUUAAUAAAGUGAGUGUUUUCAACUAUUUUUUAAUAUCUUUGUUAUUAGAGAUAUCAUCAAAAAGUCACCUAGGCUUUCUUUUAGGUUAUCCUCCAUGAGUUUUACAGUUUUGAAGUCUAUUUUUAAGAACAUGGUCCACUUUGAGUUACUUUUUGUGAAGUUUAUAAAGUUUAUAUCUACAUUAAUUUGUUUUACAACCAGAUGUCCAGUAUUUUCAUGGUCAUUUAUUUAAGUCUACCUACUUUGUAUGUGUUUUACCAAUACACAGUUGAUUAUAUUUCUGUGUUGCUAUUUAUGGGCUCACUAUUGCAUUCAUUUAUCUCUUUGCUUAUUGUCUUGGUUACUUUUUACUCAUUGCUGAGACAAAAUAUCCCACAAAGUGGGAAAGGAAAGAUUUUUUUUUUACAGUUUUUGGUGGUUUCAGUCCAUACUCAGUUGGCUCCAAGGCAGGGUGGCAUGGCAUAGCCGCAGUUCAUGGAGGCUGCAAACAGCAAGGCUGAAACCAGCAAAAGAGCCUGACACACCGUCUUCCUGUCAUUACAUCACAUCCUGGCUCCACCCCUCUGUGGGUGGAGCACUCAGACCAUCAAUCCAAGCACUAGACGAUGAACCAAUCACAAAUGCACGAUGCAAACUCAUGAGGCCUGGGGGACACAACAUACACCAUGACACUUCCUCUUUCACCAGUAUCAUGUUAUUCUGAACACUUUUUCUUGAUAGUUACAUUUAAUUAUUAACAACUUUUUAAAUUUUUUUUUUAAAUUGUAAGUAGGCAGAUUAAAUCUCAAAUUGCUUCACCAACCCAUUAAAGUAUCUAAAAUUACCCGCAGCUUCUAUUAAAAUGCAUAUUUAUUUUGAGAAGACUCAUUGUAGAUUUAGUACUGUGCAUUGUAAAUAAGCACAGGAUGAUGGUUCCUAGAUCAUAUUUUUAAAAAUAAACCAAAAUAGCAAACUAACUUUGAGGCUGUUUAACCAGUGACUCUAGAAAAUGUUCUUCUCUAUUAUACACAUAUAUACUUUUUAAUAAAAAAGGAUAGUCUCUAAAACUUUUAAUAAAAUAAACACAUCAUCUCAAAUAAUCAUAUAUCUAUAUUUUUACUUGAUUUAAAACAUAUUAAUAUAUGUUUUAUAUAUAAAUGAUUCUUAACAGAUGAACAAAGCUCCUGUAGUCAGACUUUAUUUUGGAAGUCAUUGUGGUCAAAUAGCAUGUUCUUUGAUUUAAACAGUAUUUUAUUAAGCUUAUUUAAAUUUUAUGUAUAUAAAAUUGCUAUCAUUUUUAUGUAAGCCCUGGGAUAUCCUAAUAAUACAUUUUGUCUACUUGGUAAUAAUUUAUUGACGAGUAAAAAUUAUUACAAUAAUUUUUAGUAUAAUGAAAUAUUUGUCAACCUCUUGGGUUUCAUAGAUUUAGUAAAUCAUUUUCAGGAAUAUAUAAAACUUAUUAAAGUAAACACUAAAAGUAAGCAGUCUCAAUACAAAACUAGAAAGGAAGAAAAGAAACCUAGAAAAUGGAUUAGGAGGGUAAAGGUCUAGUUUUUAAUUUUAACUGGAAAAAUCAUAGAAAAUUAGAUUUAUAAAACUAUAUAGAAAUUUUACCAACUUAUUUCUUGCAUCUGAUUGCAUUAUUGUGUUUUCAAGAAACAUCAUUUUCAAAUUAACCUCCAUUAAAUCUCAAAGUAUCCACUUGUUUUCAGUGACUUCAUAGCUUUUCAUGUCCUCCAUUUUUUGUGUUUGAGUGUUGUAAACUAUGAUGAAUUGGAAAAGAUUGAUUUCACUGCACAUUAGAUAUUACUUGACUAAAAAAAUUAUAUGUAAUUAGGAUGUUUAAUGUAGCUGUUUUCAAAUGGUUGGUAGAUGUAGUUCCCUUCAUCAGAAUGAUUAAACUUGCUUCUUCAGAAAAAAGAUGUAGAGAGACGGCGACAUGAACUACAAAAGCUACUCACAGAAAUAAUCCAGAAGAAUUUUCCUAAUUUAGCAAAAGGUAAAGAUACUCAGAUGUAUGAAGCAUUCAGGACCCCAGCCACCUACAACCCAAACAGAGCUACACCCAGGCAUAUAAUAAUCAAAAUACCAGAAAUCCAAUAUAAGAACAGAAUAUUAAAAGCUGUCAGAGACAAGAAACAGAUCACUUACAAGGGUACACCCAUCAGAAUUACAUCAGAUUUCUCGGCACAAACCAUCAAAUCACGAAGAGUGUGGGGGGAAAUAAUUCAAGCUUUGAAAGAUAAUAACCUCCAGCCAAGAUUGAAAUGUCCUGCACAACUAUCCCUGGAAAUUGAUGGAAAAACAAGGUGCUUCCAGGAUAAAGAGGAACUAGGGGAAUAUGCAACCACCAAUCCAACUUUACAGAGAAUACUUCAGGAUAUUCUAAAAAAGGAAAA